CUUGAGUCUUUCUAAUUUCCUGGACCAUUGACAGAAUCAGCAAGAACAGGUGGUAGAAUUCAUAUCAGGUGGAAUUGAGAAUCUGGAGAUUUGGUCCCAAGUCUGUCUCUGAAUCACUUGUGACCUCGAAACAAUCACAGAUGGGGUCUUAUGGUGUUGCCCAGGCUGGUCUCGAACUCCUUGAGCUCAAGUGAUCCUCACACCUUGGCAUCCCAAAAUGCUAGGAUUACAGGUGUUUCGGCGUGAGAUUAGCAUUCAGACUGGUGGACUCAGUAAAGCAGACAGCCUUUUCCAGUGUGAGUGGGUAUCAUUCAAUCGUUGAAGGCAUGAAGAGAACAAAAAAGUGAGGAAGAAUUCGCCUUCUUUCUUGCUGCCCACCUGCUUGGGCUGGGACAUCUCAUCUCACCUUCUCCAGCCUUUGGAUGAGGAUUUACACCCUGGUUCUCAGGCCUUCAGGCUUGAACUGGAGCUACACUAUCAGCUUUCCUGGGUCUCCAGAUUGUGGAUGGUAGAUCACGGCUUCGAGGCAAGCAGGGAGCACUUCUGCCUCACGGCUAUAAAUGUGGCUGUCGCCAACUUGCUAAAUGCUUCAUUGUUUCAUUUCGGCCUUCAUCAGCAGUGGGAAGAAGAACAUGUCUCCUCUCAACUGCCCAUAGGAGGAAGAAGGUGAGGGACCCAAGGAACAAAGCCAUCCAAGCUGAGCCCAGGCUAGAUCAGCUGGGUCCUGGCCCACACAGCAAUGUGCAAGGUUUUGGGGUACAUGAGCAGAGCAUGCAAGACAGUUGCUUUACUACAAAAAGGCAAAACAUCCAAAGAAGAGACUUCAAACAUCAAACAAACCAACCAGAAAUUCACGAAUUAUUGCUCGAGAUAAGUUUAUCAAGGUGAUCUGUGCUCAAUGUGUGGAUCUCAUGUCAGCAGCAUCAGCCUCACCUAGGGGCUUGUUAGAGCUGAAGAAUCUCAGAGUCCAUGGCAGAUUUCCUGAAUCAGGAGCUACAUUUUAACCAGAUCCUUGGGUGAUCUGAAAAUGCAGUAAAGUUUGGGAAGCACUGCUGUUGGUCAUUAAACAAUCUAAUGAACUAAGACUUUUGCUGAGCACCUGGUAGGUGGAGGGGGUCGAUUACACAAUUUAAACUGGCAGUCAUUUACAUCAGUACAAGUUGGCUGAGGUGGGAAUAAAAUGUUUGCUCAAGUGGUCUGUUGAUUUUUG
rnacentral:lncRNA from 13 species